GACGAACGCUGGCGGCGUGCUUAACACAUGCAAGUCGAACGGAAAGGCCUGCUUUCCCUUGUGGAUUGCGGGUACUCGAGUGGCGAACGGGUGAGUAACACGUGAGUGAUCUGCCCCCAACUUGGGUAUAAGCCUGGGAAACUGGGUCUAAUUCCCGAUAGGACUGCAGGGUGGUGCCUGUGGUGGAAAACGAUUUUCUAGUGGUUGGGGAUGAGCUCGCGGCCUAUCAGCUUGUUGGUGGGGUAAUGGCCUACCAAGGCGGCGACGGGUAGCCGGCCUGAGAGGGUGGACGGCCACAUUGGGACUGGGAUACGGCCCAGACUCCUACGGGAGGCAGCAGUGGGGAAUAUUGCACAAUGGGCGGAAGCCUGAUGCAGCGACGUCGCGUGGGGGAUGACGGCCUUCGGGUUGUAAACUCCUUUCGACCGCGAGGAAGCCACCUGGUUGGAAGGGUGGUGACGGUAGUGGUAGAAGAAGCACCGGCUAACUACGUG
rnacentral:rRNA from 1 species